rnacentral:rRNA from 1 species
UACGGAGGGGGCUAGCGUUGUUCGGAAUUACUGGGCGUAAAGCGCACGUAGGCGGCUUUGUAAGUUAGAGGUGAAAGCCCGGGGCUCAACUCCGGAAUUGCCUUUAAGACUGCAUCGCUAGAAUCGUGGAGAGGUGAGUGGAAUUCCGAGUGUAGAGGUGAAAUUCGUAGAUAUUCGGAAGAACACCAGUGGCGAAGGCGACUCACUGGACACGUAUUGACGCUGAGGUGCGAAAGCGUGGGGAGCAAACAGGAUUAGAAACCCUCGUAGUCC